UAACAGUCGUGGAUGGCAGGGAAGCCUUCGUCUUCUUUGUUUCCCCCCUUAUCGUCGCUCUUGUCUUUCCUUUGGUCGUCCUUCUUCUGCCCCAGGCUGUCGAAGUACUUUUUCAGCAUGUGACUGUCUUUGAGCUUGUGAUUCGCCCCUCCCUUGUGAUAAGGGUAGGGCUCCUUGAGCAUUUUGUCAAAGACGGCCCCCUCUGGGGGAUCUCGAGGC
rnacentral:lncRNA from 1 species